rnacentral:rRNA from 1 species
AGCAGCCGCGGUAAUUCCAGCUCCAAUAGCGUAUAUUAAAGUUGUUGCAGUUAAAAGCUCGUAGUUGAAUUUCGGGAUCAGUUGGUCGGUCGUGCCUCGGUACGUACUGGUCAAAUUGAUUCCUACCUUCUGACGAACCACGAUGUCAUUAAUUUGGUGUCGCGGGAAAUCAGGACUGUUACUUUGAAAAAUUGAGUGUUUAAAGCAGGCUCGCGCUUGAAUACAUUAGCAUGGAAUAAUGAAAUAGGACGUUUGAUUCUAUUUUGUUGGUUUCUAGGAUCGACGUAAUGAUUAAUAGGGAUAGUUGGGGGCAUUAGUAUUCAAUUGUCAGAGGUGAAAUUCUUGGAUUUAUUGAA